CGGAGCGUAGCUCAGCCUGGCUAGAGCACUUGCUUUGGGAGCAAGACGUCGCAGGUUCGAAUCCUGUCGCUCCGACCA
rnacentral:tRNA from 2 species